ACCACCUACUUUGUUCUACUCGUGCCUUAGCACUCCCCCUGUGCCCUGUACUUCCAGAAGUUUAGCCCUUUGUUAGGGCAUCUAGUCUAUAACAUGGCAAGCUACUGUCUAUAACUGAUUUUAGUUAUAUUCUGCUGGAUUUGUACCUCACUCUACUAUAGCACGCUUUAAAAAUGCACAGGGGAAUUGUAGGCAGAGAGGGCACAAAGUACAGCAAAAGAAAAGUACACAGCAAGUUGUGUGUCUGGGAGGGUCAGGAAGGAGUCACACACGGUGACACCACAUCCAAGGGCAAAAUUACUUUCUUUAUUGAACAUAUUUUUUAAUCCCGCCUCUCUCCUUCAAAAGGACCCAAGUUAUGAUCGUUCUUGAUACAAAGCCUCCGGAACUACUGAGUACAGUACUGUGCGCCAGUUAUCCGCCCGAUGCCCUUAUUAGGAGGAAAGGCCCUAAACCUCCCCUUCGAUGAGGAAAUCAGAUCAUAAAUAUCCUCCCCGCCACCCACCCGCACCCAGAGGUGGUUUAAGCGUGCAAGAGGCGGCCUGAGGCGUCCUCCCGGGAGCUGCCUCAGGACCCAGCCUCUCUCUCCAAAAAGCCGCUCCCUUCGACCGUCUCGGCACCUGCUCGAACUUGAGCGGCUCUUUGCUUUAUGAACAGCGAGGGCUCCUCCGUCGUCUCCGGACAGCCCCGAACGAGGAGAGUCGUGGGGAAGGUUUGAGAGAGAGAAAGAAAAGAGUUCACAGGACCAGCGAAACCGCGCCUUUGGAGGAAGAGGCGGCAGCAGCAGCCGCCAUCGCGCGGAUUUUCACUUUCGCUACUUCGAGCGGCCGGGACGCCGGGACGACGCGACGGCCAUGUGGGGACUGUUCUGGGCUCUGCUCCUGCUUCUUCGGUUGGAGCUUCCGCUCGGGGCCUCGCCAGAAGAACAGUGUCAUCAGAAUACCAUCGGUGGCAUUGAAGGAAAAGAUAUUGCUUUACACCCAAAUGUUAGUGGCUCGCCAGCAGAGAUUACCUGGAUGAAAGACAGAAAUAUAGUGGCUACGUCAAUUGAUGGUUUUCCAACAAAGAACAAUUUAGAGCUUAUCGUUAAUAAUGGUAGUUUGAUUCUCCACAACCUGUCACUGAAAGAUGUUGGAUGUUACAAAGCUGAAAUUGAAGUUAAAGAUGAAGUAACAGAAACAUUUUUUGGUUUGAAAGUAUUAGUACCACCUAGUUUAACCUGCUCUACCAAUGAUAGCAUCCAAAUAAGCUGCAAUCUGCCCACCAACAUGCUGGAUCUGUCACCAUCAUAUGAGUGGAAAGGCUUUGAAAAAGAUGAAAUUAUUCAUUCUAAUUGGUCUUUUGUGCAACUUCACAAAAACAUAGACCCUUCUAAGAAAAUCACGUGCAUCAUUACUGCUUUCAAUGUAAAUGUGAGCAACUCCAUCAAUUUGAAUGAAUGUAUCCGGAAAGAUCAUCAGAUUGGAGGUAGAAGUAGAAUUCAGAUUCUCUUGGCUGUAAUCAUUGUAGCGCUGGUGGUAAUAGGAAGUUACAUUUACCUAAUAAAAGAUGAUCCUAUGCCAUCUCCAGAAGGAGGAAACAUAAGUGAUAAUCAGCCAGAUGUUAACCUAGACUCAGCUGAGAACUUGGAAGGAAGCAGAGAGGAAUCGUCUCCACCAGAAAGUUGA
rnacentral:lncRNA from 1 species